rnacentral:lncRNA from 1 species
CCACCCGCGGGGCUGGCUUUGCAUAGUGAGAUGUCAGGGUUGGCGCCACAAGCUUUAGGGAGAUCAAGAGCGUUGUCUUUAGUGAGGUUAAGCGAUUUGAGCAUAUCUACGUUGUUGAACACGGAGCAAAGACACGUCGCGUCGUUGGCGACGAUCGCCUUCAUCGGCAGGCAACACGAUGGAGGCGGUGGUGGAAUCACCGAGUGAAGAAACGGCUGACACGGCAUAAGUUUCUGUAUACACGGCAUUGCCUGAGCAUCUCCUCCUCCGCCGCCUCCACCGCUCGGUGGUGCAGUUGCGGCGUUAGAUGAUGAUACGGAGUAAAGUACAAAAAAGACGGCGACGGUGAAUCUAACAAUCUCCAUUUUGAAAAACAAUAUUAGUUAUUGUAAGAUGGUUUCUUUAUCUUGUGUUUGAAUGUUGUGUGAAUUUGUAAUAGAUUUCCACAUGUAUUUAUAUACACAACACACACGUCGACGUUGGAUUUUACGUUGUUGAACACGGAGCAAAGACACGUCGCGUCGUUGGCGACGAUCGCCUUCAUCGGCAGGCAACACGAUGGAGGCGGUGGUGGAAUCACCGAGUGGAGAAACGGCUGACACGGCAUAAGUUUCUGUAUACACGGCAUUGCCUGAGCAUCUCCUCCUCCGCCGCCUCCACCGCUCGGUGGUGCAGUUGCGGCGUUAGAUGAUGAUACGGAGUAAAGUACAAAAAAGACGGCGACGGUGAAUCUAACAAUCUCCAUUUUGAAAAACAAUAUUAGUUAUUGUAAGAUGGUUUCUUUAUCUUGUGUUUGAAUGUUGUGUGAAUUUGUAAUAGAUUUCCACAUGUAUUUAUAUACACAACACACACGUCGACGUUGGAUUUUUUGAGAAACAGUUACUAAACCUUUUCUGAUCCGAUCAUUACGCAACGGAUCAAAGACUAAAAUCUUGGUUAUUUAGUUAAAUCCAAAACUAAUCCAAAAAUAGACGAAAGAUUGUUAUUACAUCACGACAACAAAAAUUACAUGAUAUGUUUUCUUGUGGUCGUCAACCAUGUUCUCCAAUCUCAUCUAACAAUUCAAAAAUAUCCUCAUUUUUAUUAUAUUUAAAUAUGUAUGAUAUUUUGGCCCAUUCCAAAAAUAUUAUGGUGGAAGCUGAAUGAGGCAGACUACCCGGUGCAAAGGAUAGCUUGAGAUGAUGAAGAUCAUGAAGCAAAGCAAAGCUCACCAACGUUGUUUUUAUGAGAAAAUAAAUCCAAUCUCUAACCUAACAACUAUCCAUAUUCGCGCACUAAACCAAUGAACAAUGAGAAUUUUCAGGCUCAGGAAUUUAUUUAGACUGGUAUAAUGCCAAUGUCCAUAGAAAAUACACCGAGACCGCCCCAAACCUCAAGCUCAAUUUACUUAAGGUUAAUCAAUACAAGAGAGUGGCGAAACAGAAGAAAGUCUAUGACCAAGAAGUAAUUCAAUUGUUACAGUGGAUGUUGAUGAAGCUUGAUGACAGAGAAGAUUCAAGAAUAACUCCUUGAUCCUUUUCUAUGUAUGCAUAUAAAUAAGCAAAAUAAAAAGUACUCCAAUUUAGACAACCCAAGUAACCAACCAAAGAGGGCGUGAAGCUUAACUGAAUAAUCUAAAUUCGGCAGAAAGGUUUUAAGAUCAUUCUUGAUCAGAAUCCUUCUAGUCUCGACAUCAAUGAUUAUGCACCUCCAAGCUCCAGCCACACAUACUGCCUGCCACCAAGACAAAGCUCCUCCGUCUCUCCCAUAUAUUGGUUCACGACCAAGGUUGUAGGUUGGUAGUGAUAGGAUUCUUAGGGAACCGAGGCGAAGGACAACUUGGAUCAGGUUUGUGACUUUUGAGAAGCAAUGAUUCACAAAUGAAACGUUAAGUCGACACACUGUUUAGAUUAGUAAUUGAUGAUGUCAUACUUUUAAAUGAAUUGAAAACUUGACCAUUGGAUUGUGUAAGGAAGCCAUUUCUACCAUUCGAUUUAACUUUUAUUUUCCUAUGAAAAAAUGUUGACUUCAUCAGAGACAAAAAGUGGGUUUGCUAUUAUAUAUAGAUAGAUUUUCUCAUUACAUAUGAAUAUUAAGUUUUUCUUUUUGAACACAACAUAUGAAUAUUAAGUAACCAAAAAUAAGUUCAAACAGAUUAAACCUAUCUAACAAUGAAUAAAGACGUAAAUGUAAUAUAUAGUAGUAGAUCAGAAGAAGGUUGUUGCCAAUGCCACGAUAGUCGAUGCGAAGCUUAGUCCGGCGAAGUUGAUGGCCGGAGCAGAGCUUGUCGGUGUGGACGACGUCGAAUUCGUAGUAGGACCUUGGUCAACACAGAAUUUAAAAGCUAAUUAGGAACAAAAAAACAGUAACAAGAAAUCAAUUAAACGGCGUCGUAAUAAGUUACUCACCAUCCGCGGGGCUGGCUUUGCAUAGUGAGAUGUCAGGCUCGGCGUCACAAGCUUUAGGGAUAUCAAGAGCGUUGUCUCUAGUGAGGUUAAGCGAUUUGAGCAUAUCCACGUUGUUGAACACGGAGCAAAGACACGGAGCAUCGUUGGCGACCAUCUCCUUCAUCGACAGGCAACACGAUGCAGGCAGUGGUGGAAUCACCGAGUGGAGAUACGGCUGACACGACUUAAGUUUCUGUAUACACGGCAGUGCCCGAGCAUCUCCUCCUCCGCUGCCUCCACCGCUAGGAGGUGCAACUGCGGCGUUAGAUGAUGAGACAGAGACAAGUACAAAAAAGACAGCGACGGUGAAUCUAACAAUCUUCAUUUUCAAAAACAAAGAGCUUUGAAACAAUGUAUGUAGUUCUUGUAAGACGGUGGUGUCUUUAUCUUGUGUUUGAAUGUUUUGUGAAUUUGUAAUACAUUUCAGCAUGUAUUUAUAUACGUAACACACACGUUGACGUUGGUUAUAAUUUUGAAUCUAAUCUACUUCUUGCUGGUUUUUCGAGAAACAGUAAAUCUUCCGAUCAUUACGCAACGGUUCCAUAAGACUAAAGGUCUGGAUUAAUUAGUUAAUUAAAUCAAACUAAUCCAAAAUAGACUUGUCAGUUGCAAGAGUUUGGGUAAUCAUUUGAUAUAGAAAGUCAAGUGAUCCGUAACCUUAAAUUUAUAAAUAGAAGAAAAACUGUUAUUACAUCACAACAACAGAAAUUACAUAAUAUGAAUAUAUAUGUUGUCUUGUGGUUGUCAACCAUGUUCCCAAAUCUCACCUUGGCAAAUACAAUUUUAGCUUCUGCUAGAUAGUUAAAAAAAGACUUAACGGCUGGGGCUUUGUCAUUUCUUUUGGAGACAGAAUAAUAUCCAUUUAGUCUUCGUUCUUAAACAAAUAAUUAGAAUCUAAUCCGCUAUUUUAUUUCAUUUUGAUUAAAGAUUUUGAACUUAUAUGAAAAUUUGUUGUAAGUGUUUAGAGUUUGAUCAAAUAUGGAGUUCACUUUUAGAUAAAUUUGUGGCAUAUAUUUCAUUUAGUUAUUUAUGCUUUUUUUUUUUUGGGUCUAGAGAUCAAAAUUGUUUAUGCUAGUUUUUAUUUAAAGCAUUUAUGACAAAGUAAUUUUUAUGUGUUUAUGUUUUAAUAAGUCAUAUUUUACAGUUUAUGGUGGAAAAACAAAUUUAAAAAAAUUGUAAAAUAAUAUAUUAGUUAUUCAAAUUUUUUUUUUUGAAAAUAGUAAGUUUCAAAUUCGUCGGGGCAACCUAAGAUAUUAAUUGAAAUAAAAUUCAAUCUCUUUAUUAAUAAAUAUAUUAACACACCUUGACGAAAAUAUUAGUUGCUAGUGAUCUUAGAACACCCUCGUUAAAAAAUAUUUUAUGAGAAGUUUUUAAAAUAUUAUGAAAUAUAAUAUACUAUACAAGUUAUUAUGUUGGUAUUUCAAAAUUAUGAGAAAGAAAUACUUGUUGUUCAUGAUCAUGAACAAACAUCUUGUUCCAUGUUAUUCUCUUCUUUUUUCCUUUAUGUCUUCGAUUUUUCACUCGCUUACUAGUAUAUUUACAGAAACUACAAACAAAAAGUUGAUGUUUCUAAAAUACUUUUCUAGAUUUUCAUCUUAUAUUUUUUUUUUUCAUUUAACUAAAAUCAGAUCUAUAUUUUUUCACAUGUAGUUAUAUACUAUAUCACAACAUCUAAAUGUUAAAUACAAAGUUUUAUUUUCUUAACUUUUUCUCUUAUUUGUGCUCAAAUUUUAUUUAUGUUUUGCUUAUAUUUGUGUGUGUGUACAUAUGGUUAUAAACAUAAGAGAGAAUUGAUGAAAUAAAAUGAAUGAGAUUAGAUGAAUGUAAUAUAUGAAAAAUAAAAUAAAUUCGUUUCAUUCAUUCCUCAUUAAAAUCGUUUAUCAUAUAGUAGCACCAAAUCGACUUCUAACACCCGGGGAAGUCAAAAUCUUGACAGUAGCUAAAAGCUAGCUUCGGAAAAAGUUAGCUAUUAAACUCUAAUGAUGUACAUAUCUAUUUUAUACUACUUGAGGUAUAUUAUACACCAUAAUUUAUAUUAAUAGUUUGAACUAGCUAGUAACAUUAUAAUGUUAUAUAUUCAUAAUUCAGAUUGAGUUGUGGCUAUGUAGAUGUUUGUUAAUCGAAUUGUAUGUAGGCAAGACGUACAUACUAGCUAAAUGGUUUAUAAUAUUCCAACUAGCUCGUUUUCUCCUCGACUCUUUGGUAUUUAAAAGAAGACGAAAUAUAAAAUAAAAAACUGUAAUAAGAUGUUAGAGAACGUUGGUAAAGAACUGUUGAAAAUUAGAAAUAUUAUUAGAAUUUUCUCAAUACAUAUUUAAUCAGUUACCAAACAUAAUUUCAAACAAAUUAAACCUAUCUAAUAAUGAAUAAAUACGUAAUGUAAAUAGUAGAUCAGAAGAAGGUUGCUGCCAAUGCCACGAUAGUCGAUGCGAAGCUGAGUCCGGCGAAGUUGAUGGCGGGGGCAGAGCUUGUCGGUGUUGACGUUGAAGAAGCUGAUGCUCCGGUGGUACCGCUUCCUGUUGAUUUAUUUUAAAACAAAACUAAAUACUCCACAACCGCUUAUUGUAAAACUUUCUUUCUAUUUACUACCCGAAUACAUAAAAAAAAAAAUUCCUAAAUCCAUGAGAAUAACUUUUACAAAAUUCGAAGAUUAUGUGUUCAUACCAGUGGAAGUCGCCGGAGGAGUUUUGGGAGUUGCCGGCGACGUCGAAUUCGUAGUAGUACCUUGGUCAACACGAAAUUUAAAAGCUAAUUAGGAACCAAAAAAACAGUAACAAGAAAUCUAUUAAACGGCGUCGUAAUAAGUUACUCACCACCCGCGGGGCUGGCUUUGCAUAGUGAGAUGUCAGGGUUGGCGCCACAAGCUUUAGGGAGAUCAAGAGCGUUGUCUUUAGUGAGGUUAAGCGAUUUGAGCAUAUCUACGUUGUUGAACACGGAGCAAAGACACGUCGCGUCGUUAGCGACGAUCGCCUUCAUCGGCAGGCAACACGAUGGAGGCGGUGGUGGAAUCACCGAGUGAAGAAACGGUUGACACGGCAUAAGUUUCUG